GUAUGUAUGAUGUAUGUAUGAAUGUAUGUAUGCAAGCAAAAAUCUUCCUUUUCGCGAAAGAAAACAAGGAAAGAAGAAGAGUCAGUGGUCGUUCUCUGUUUCUUCUACCUUCUCUCUCAUUGGAAGGAAUAAGAAAAGACGAGAGAGAGAGAAAGAAAGGGAUAUAUCAAUAUUCUACAUUCGUGUACGAACGGUAUAGUAUAAGAGAAAGAUAGAAAUAUACACGCGCUAUUCGGCCGACUCUCAAAGUGACGAGCGCGCAGCCAUCAUCAACCGCGCUCGUCGACGACGACGACGCCACUGGACUGCACUGGUGGACAUCCAGCAUUUACAAAACGUCGCUGUCGUAAACGCAACGUUCUUUUCCUCGUUUUCGAGAACACGCUGUCCUGAUGUUGCAUAGCACUUUUGUGAUAUAUGUAUCGUGUGCGUGUGUAAUGGCUCGUAUCUCGUCCACGUUUUACAAAGUAUCGAGAAAGGCCGCGAUAUACGCCGAUAAAUGUCGUUGAUUCACUAGUAAAAGGGAUAAGAAGCGGGAAAUUCGAAACUCGUUCGAUUGACGACGUUAUAACCUAGUCUUCUCGAGUGACACUCAGAUCGUACUUUCAAGGUAAGUUAAUCCUAUAAACGUAUUACACCCUUUCAUAUUCCCUUUAUCUUCGUUUCUUUGUGUUAUUCAUAUUGAAAUAAUACGAAGCGAACAAUGCAUGAAUAUCUUCCGUAAACGCGGUACAUUUCGAACUCUUUUGUUUAGCGCGUUCGAGGAAUGUGCGAUGAGCUAUAAACGAGAUACGCCGAGGUCUCGCGUGAAUAUAACUCGAGAGAGAAAGAGAGAGAAAGAAAAUGAGAGAAUGAAUAGGUUAAUUAACAUUAAUCGGAAUGUGAAGUCCUUGCUGACAUACAUAUCCAUACAAAAAAAUACGGAAAGAAAAAAAAGUAAUAAUAGUAUUCGUAGAGGAUGUUCUUGUUCUUUUUUUCUUUUUUCUUUCUCCUUCUUUUUUUUAUCCUGAUAUCAUGGUCAUCGAAAUGAAACGGUGUGAUUCGUUUAUCGAAUGAAAAAAUAUAACAGAAGUAUCGCGAAGUUACUUUUUCUAUCUAUUUUGAAGUAUUAAAUUAAUGUUUCAAAUUUGAAAUAGCCCACAAUAAAAUGAAUACGAAUCUUAAAUAAUAAAACGUCCUAUGGUCGCUCGAAAACUUAGAAUGGAUCGUUUAUAGAUCGUAAUAAACGUAAAUUACGCGCUAUCGUCUUCGCUCUUGAUCGUAACUCGCGCUCGUGUUCAUCGAUAAAGUCAUUCUUUCGUUAUCGUUUACGGUCAUAAGGCAUGCGAUCUUUGUUUCUGCGAUUUUGUUUUAUUAUUUUUUUCCGUUCGAAAGAAAAAAUUAAUUUUCUUCCCAGUUCCCUUGAACGGGUAAUAGUGAACGUCGAAAAGAUUUUUCGACGAAAGAAAUUUCUUCGUUAUAUCAAACAACAAACAAAUUGAUUUUUCUUCGUCUUGUAGUCUACGGUAAGAACGAUCAACGAGCAUUUUAACUGACACGUAGCAACUCCAUUGAUUAUACGUACAAAUCGUAGAUAUAUCAAAUCGUAUCGCGAAUCAACUCGUAGAUGAAUUAUAUGAAAAGAAAGAUCGAGGUAAUUGAGUAGGAACGAAUACUUACGGGCUGCAUCAUUUUUUACGAAUAAUUCGAGAGAUAGAUAAAAAGAGAGAAAGAGAGAAAGAGAGAGAAAAAGAGAAAGAAGUGAUUUAUUAAAACGGCAAGUCCCUCGGGAUGGCUACUACUACUAGCGGACAGACAAAAUCGUAUCAACUGUUUGAUCACGCGAAGCACUAUGAAAACGACGUUUCUACCACGGUGUUUCUCGUAUGCUCGAUAUGAUGACGCUUAUGAAUUAAUUAGAUAAUAACUCGCGACAAUUAGAGACUGGCUAGGCGCACGCGAAAGCAUCUGCUUCUCAUCUCUCGCGGAAAAAUUCGUUGAUAGAGCUUCACCAAUGGCGCGUACAAGAAAGACAAAGACGAAGAAACAGAUAGAUAAAUAGAUAGAUAAAUACAUACAUAUAUAUAUGUAUAUAUAUGCAUAUAUAUAUAUGCAUAUAUAUAUAUAUAUAGAGGGAGAGAGAGAGAGAGAGAGAUUAAGAGAAAGAGAGAACAAAUCGAGUUGAGGUCAUAUCGAACUAUCUAGGACCUCAUAUAUUUUUUACUAUGUCGGGAACAACGAUAUUGUUUUCGAUGAGUUUAAACUCCUCCCGUUGUCCCAGUUUGUUUAGGACCACGAUACUUACAAUUAGAAGAAGAAAUACAUAAGCGAUAAACGGUUUGCCAUCUUGCCUGAGUGGACGCGCGCACACUUUCCAAAGGAAGAGCAACGUACCCCGUCGCGUUCGAUGAAUCACACAUUUGUUCUCUGCGGUCCACCAUUGUCCGACUUUUCCGAGAUAUAAUUAUAUCGCGUUCAACGCAUUUUUUCCAUUUCUUUAUUCCCCGAAACGAUUUUGUCUCUCGAAAGUAUGCAUACGUGUUAAUAUACUGAUAAUUCUUUUCCUCUUUUGUUUUUUUUUCUUUUUUUAAUAAAAGUCGAUAAAACUUCAGAAUCGAUAUACAAGAUAAUAUAGACUUUCGAAGGAAUACGAUUUCGAGGCGAAAUUCAGGGGAAAUUUUUUGUUACAAGUUGGAAAUAAAUAAAAGGGAUAAAGGUUAAGGUUUCGAAACGAUAGAUAUGUAAUUGUUUGGAAUUAUCGAGGAUUAUUUUCUUUUUUUUUUUUGAAAAUUUCAUUUUUGUUUGAAAGGACGUCAAAGAACUUUAGAAAUUUUAUACAUAUUCAAAGAUCUUUAGAAAGAUGAUUCAAAGAUCUUUACACAGAUUAAUAGGAAAUGAGAAUUGUUGUUGAUUUAUUCUGUUCAAAAUCUGCUCGAUGAACUUUACUUAACAGAAGAUAAUUUAUAAAGCAACUUUUAAAAGUUCAUCGAUUUAUCAAUUCUUUUUCGACGUUAACAACGAUUUUUCAUUCUUUUCAGAUUUUUCCCUAGGGAGAAUAAAGUCUACGUAACUUUUUCGGUAAUCCACGAUCGAGCUUGUAGUUCGAGAGAAAGAUAAGAAUAGGAGAAGAGAGAGAGAGAAAGAGAGAUUUGUUCGACAUCGAUACAGAACGAUAACGAGGCUAAUAAACACUCAAAAGAUAAGACACCUCGUAUGGCGCAAAGUAGAUCUCGAUCUCGGAUUCGUCACGAGCAGCGUUGUAAAUUACCACGUGAUAAAAGAAAAAUCGAGAAUACAUUGAUCAAAGGGGAAAAAAAUGUUUCAUCGAUGAACAAGUGCGAUUAUUCAAAAAAAUUCCAUAACCCCGUCGAAUUCGAACUGCCUGCGAGUUAUUUUUUAAAGAAACUUCACGUCGAUCAAAGCGAUGAAAAACUUCGAUCAAUCAAAGAGAAACGAUGGAUGAUCUUUGGCGCGAAAAAAAAUUUUUCACGAAUCCGUAUGAUGUUAUCAACGUAUCAACAUUAAUGGAAGUUGUAUCAACAUUAAUCCUUAAAAAUUAUACUAUUCGCUCGCCUCUAAUGCAUUUCUUCGUUGAAUCAAAAAAGAAAUAACAUUGUUAUUUCCUGUGUGACUUUAUCGCAUAAAACCAAGGAUGUUUUGGAAAUACGAGAAUUUUGCUUUGAAUGUAUUAAAUUAGGAACAACACGACAUAUACAAGCUGAGUCAAUAAUCAUGAAAGCUUUUGAAUAUUACAUAACAUGAAAAAAAAGGGAACGAAAAAAAAUUGUUCCGCUCUAUUGGGAUAAAUCGAUUUUGAAAUCGUAACUAAAGUACAUUUUACUCCGCGAUCGAUGGAUAAUAGCGACACGAGUCACGUUUCGUGGAAAACCUUUACAAUGUGAACACGAAGUUACCAAGGAGGAGGAAGGUCGAAGCGAUUCUGAAAGUCGAGUAAACAGAAAUACAUUAUAUUAUGAGGUAAAUGGAAAAGUCCGCAAUUGCAGAAGUCAUGAUGGUAAUUUUCCGAAAAGGAAGGAUACACGCGAUGCGGGUUUUAAUCCUGCGUCUGUUCAUUGCAGAGGUUGAUCGAAAAGAUACUAGUAUUUUUAGUGAUUUCUAAUAAUAUUCCAAUAUCCUAUAUAACUAAUAGAUUAUAUUUAAAUAUUACUAAAAAAAAAAAAAAAAAAAAAAAAGAGAGAAAAAAAAGAAA